rnacentral:rRNA from 1 species
GAUGAACGCUAGCGGCAGGCUUAAUACAUGCAAGUCGUGGGGCAGCACAGUGUAGCAAUACAUGGGUGGCGACCGGCAAACGGGUGCGUAACACGUACGCAACCUUCCUUUAGGCGGGGAAUAGCCCAGAGAAAUUUGGAUUAAUACCCCAUAAAAUUUUGAGAUGGCAUCAUCUUAUUAUUAAAGCUUCGGCACCUGAAGAUGGGCGUGCGGCUGAUUAGGUAGUUGGCGGGGUAACGGCCCACCAAGCCUUCGAUCAGUAGCUGAUGUGAGAGCAUGAUCAGCCACACGGGCACUGAGACACGGGCCCGACUCCUACGGGAGGCAGCAGUAAGGAAUAUUGGUCAAUGGGCGAAAGCCUGAACCAGCCAUGCCGCGUGGAGGAUGAAGGUCCUCUGGAUUGUAAACUUCUUUUAUCUGGGACGAAAAAGGGUUUUCUAACUCGUCUGACGGUACCAGAUGAAUAAGCACCGGCUAACUCCGUGCCAGCAGCCGAC